UAAACGAUGGCCAAUUAAAAAUGUUUGCUUAAACGAACCAAGAUAAAAAUCCAAUUUAAAUAAAAGUUUUUUCGUAACACUCACCACAUAAAGGCAAUAUGCAAAUAUUACACAAAAAACACUCAGAAAAUGUUAAACAAAAUUAAAUGAAUGCAAAUUAAAAAGCACGAGGAAAAGCCAAAGCAAAUAAUAACAGCAACAAUGUGUUCAUAACUAUUAAAAAAAGGAAAUUAAAUUAAAAUAAAAUUAAAAAUAAAAAAGCGAUAGCUUAACCGCAUUAUGCUAAAUCGAAACCAAACCAAGCUCAUCUGAAUCUCUACUAUCGCAUCCAUGUUUCUGCAUACGUAUCUGCAUCUGCACCCGUACCCGCAUCCGUAAAUCUAUCCGUAUCUUUGCAUCUGCUGAGGGAAUGAGACGAUGCAGCAAACAUGUCAGCUCAACUCGAAUCCGAAUCCCAGAAUCAAUACAUUAAUCAGUCGAGCAAGCAAAGAGUCAAGAAAUUCCAUCAUCAAUUUGCAACUGCCAUCAACUCAUCAACAAUAACAACUGCAACCAGUACAACUGCAACCAGCAAUCCCAACUUAAAUGCCAGAAAUUAAAUGCACCCAAACUAAAGCAAAUAAACUCAAAUAAUUCUAAGUAAUACAACUAAAAAAUAGCCUAACACCACUCGAGGGCGAACAAAAAGCCACUAACUUCCAUUUUCAUAUUAAUUAUGGAACAUUCAUCAACAAUUUCGUUGUGUUUGUUCCAUUGCAAAAACAAAAAGGUCGCCGAUUGUUUGCAGCAUCAACAGAAACACCAACGACCAGUGGGAAAAUCAACAACAACUCCAUCAACAAAAUCAACCAGAAGACCAACAACAUCAGCAACCCAAAAAUCAAGAGCUUCUUGGAGAAGCGGCAACUUUAAGCUUGAUUUCAACAAAUUGCAGGCUAACAUCUAACAACUGAACGAAACAACGAUACUAAGCUGUAUUAAGAAAGAUAAGUAUCAGCUUCACCAGAAAAUCAACCAGAACAACAACAACUGCUACCUAAGGUUUCUCAAACUGUAAAAAACAAAUAACUCAAAAAACAAACGACCAUAUAAGCAAACCAGAAAAAAGUGCAAAUUAUGUAAAUUAUAGCAAAGGCAAAACGCAAAGGGAAAACCGAAAAGCAAACGAAAGGGAAUUAGUCAAAUAGAAGAGGCGAACAAAAAACACACAGAAAUACAUAAAAAAUAUCUGUGACCAGGCAAGACCGGAAAUUAAAUCUGCAACGCGGAACCAAAGAGGAAGAG